rnacentral:rRNA from 1 species
UUAAUUUGACUUAAGCCAAUACCCCUCGGGGUUGUUUUGGUGAUUCAGAAUAACUGAGCGAAUCGCAUAGCUUUCGGGCGGCGAUCAAUCAUUCAAGUUUCUGCCCCAUCAGCUGUCGAUGGUAGGGUAUAGGCCUACCAUGGCUGUCACGGCUGACGGAGAAUUAUGGUAAAGAUUCCGGAGAGGGAGCCUGAGAGACGGCUACCACAUCCAAGGAAGGCAGCAUGCGCGUAAAUUACUCAAUGUUGACUCGACGAAUUAGUGACGAGAAUUAACAAUGCGGACCGCUCAACGUUUUGCAAUUGGAAUGAGAGGAAUGUAAAAGCCUCAUCGAGUAUCCAUUGGAGGGCAAGUCUGGUGCCAUUUUCCGCGGAAAUUCCAGCUCCAAUAGCGUAUACUAAAGUUGUUGCAGUUAAAAAGCUCGUAGUUGAACCUCUGGUAGGGCCGACCUUGGCGCGCGGUGAAUGCCGCGUUGUUUAAAAGCGUCGUUGCCCGGCCAUCCUCCCCCGGUCUUUUGGGCUGGGGGUCGUUUACUGUAAAAAAAAUAGAGUGUUCCAAGCAGGGGGUAAUAUCCCGGUAUAUAGUAGUAUGGAAUAAUGAGAUAGGACUUUGGUACUAUUUUUGUUGGUUUGCAUGCCAAGGUAAUGAUUAAGAACGU